CGCGUAGGUAUCUACCUUUAGGUGGGGGACAACUCGAGGAAACUCGAGCUAAUACCGCAUAAUAUCUAAGGAUCAAAGUGGGGAUCUUCGGACCUCACGCCAAGAGAGGAGCCUGCGUUGGAUUAGUUUGUUGGUGGGGUAAUGGCCUACCAAGACGACGAUCUAUAGCUGGUCUGAGAGGACGAUCAGCCACACUGGAACUGAGACACGGUCCAGACUCCUACGGGAGGCAGCAGUAGGGAAUCUUGGGCAAUGGGCGAAAGCCUGACCCAGCGAUGCCGCGUGUGCGAAGAAGGCCCU
rnacentral:rRNA from 1 species